rnacentral:rRNA from 1 species
CUUGGCUCGCGCAACGAUGAAGGACGCAGCGAACUGCGAAACGCAAUGUGAAUUGCAGAAUUCAGUGAAUCAUCAGAUUU